rnacentral:rRNA from 1 species
CCUACGGGGGGCUGCAGUGGGGAAUAUUGCACAAUGGGCGCAAGCCUGAUGCAGCCAUGCCGCGUGUGUGAAGAAGGCCUUCGGGUUGUAAAGCACUUUCAGCGGGGAGGAAGGCGGUGAGGUUAACAACCUCAUCGAUUGACGUUACCCGCAGAAGAAGCACCGGCUAACUCCGUGCCAGCAGCCGCGGUAAUACGGAGGGUGCAAGCGUUAAUCGGAAUUACUGGGCGUAAAGCGCACGCAGGCGGUCUGUCAAGUCGGAUGUGAAAUCCCCGGGCUCAACCUGGGAACUGCAUUCGAAACUGGCAGGCUAGAGUCUUGUAGAGGGGGGUAGAAUUCCAGGUGUAGCGGUGAAAUGCGUAGAGAUCUGGAGGAAUACCGGUGGCGAAGGCGGCCCCCUGGACAAAGACUGACGCUCAGGUGCGAAAGCGUGGGGAGCAAACAGGAUUAGAUACCCCAGUAGUC